AGAACGAACGCUGGCGGCAGGCCUCAAACAUGCAAGUCUAGGGGGUGUAGCAAUACAUCACCGGCGGACGGGUGCGUAACACGUGGGAAUAUACCUUUUGGUUCGGAACAACGCAGGGAAACUUGCGCUAAUACCGAAUGUGCCCUUACGGGGAAAGAUUUAUCGCCAAAGGAUUAGCCCGCGUAGGAUUAGCUAGUUGGUGAGGUAAUGGCUCACCAAGGCUCCGAUCCUUAGCUGUUCUGAGAGGAAGAUCAGCCACACUGGGACUGAGACACGGCCCAGACUCCUACGGGAGGCAGCAGUUGGGAAUCUUGGACAAUGGGGGAAACCCUGAUCCAGCCAUGCCGCGUGAGUGAUGAAGGCCUUCGGGUUGUAAAACUCUUUCGGACGGGGACGAUAAUGACGGUACCCGUAGAAGAGCUCCGGCUAACUUCGUGCCAGCAGCCGC
rnacentral:rRNA from 1 species